UGCGGGAAGAAGGCCUUCGGGUUGUAAACCGCUUUUGUCAGGGAAGAAAAGGUUCUGGCUAAUACCUGGGACUCAUGACGGUACCUGAAGAAUAAGCACCGGCUAACUACGUGCCAGCAGCCGCGGUAAUACGUAGGGUGCAAGCGUUAAUCGGAAUUACUGGGCGUAAAGCGUGCGCAGGCGGUUAUGCAAGACAGAGGUGAAAUCCCCGGGCUCAACCUGGGAACUGCCUUUGUGACUGCAUAGCUAGAGUGCGGCAGAGGGGGAUGGAAUUCCGCGUGUAGCAGUGAAAUGCGUAGAUAUGCGGAGGAACACCGAUGGCGAAGGCAAUCCCCUGGGCCUGCACCGACGCUCAUGCACGAAAGCGUGGGGAGCAAACAGGAUUAGAUACCCUGGUAGUCCACGCCCUAAACGA
rnacentral:rRNA from 1 species